rnacentral:rRNA from 1 species
UCUGCUCAGUAACACGUGGAUAACCUGCCCUUGGGUCCGGCAUAACCCCGGGAAACUGGGGAUAAUUCCGGAUAACGCACAUAUGCUGGAAUGCUUUAUGCGUAAAAUGGAUUCGUCUGCCCAAGGAUGGAUCUGCGGCCUAUCAGGUAGUAGUGGGUGUAAUGUACCUACUAGCCAACAACGGGUACGGGUUGUGAGAGCAAGAGCCCGGAGAUGGAUUCUGAGACAUGAAUCCAGGCCCUACGGGGCGCAGCAGGCGCGAAAACUUUACAAUGCGGGAAACCGUGAUAAGGGGACACCGAGUGCCAGCAUCAUAUGCUGGCUGUCCGGGUGUGUAAAAUACACCCGUUAGCAAGGGCCGGGCAAGACCGGUGCCAGCCGCCGCGGUAACACCGGCGGCCCGAGUGGUGAUCGUGAUUAUUGGGUCUAAAGGGUCCGUAGCCGGUUUGGUCAGUCCUCCGGGAAAUCUGACGGCUCAACCGUUAGGCUUUCGGGGGAUACUGCCAGGCUUGGAACCGGGAGAGGUAGGAGGUACUCAGGGGGUAGGAGUGAAAUCCUGUAAUCCUUUGGGGACCACCGGUGGCGAAGGCGUCCUACCAGAACAGGUCCGACGGUGAGGGACGAAAGCUAGGGGCACGAACCGGAUUAGAUACCCGGGUAGUCCUAGCCGUAAACGAUGCUCGCUAGGUGUCACAACAAUCGUGAAUUGUUGUGGUGCCGUAGGGAAGCCGUGAAGCGAGCCACUUGGGAAGUACGACCGCAAGGUUGAAACUUAAAGGAAUUGGCGGGGGAGCAC